AUACAUAGGGGGCGAGCGUUAUCCGGAAUUAUUGGGCGUAAAGCGUGCGUAGGCGGUUUAUUAAGUCUGGCGUGAAAUCCCACAGCUUAACUGUGGGUGGUCGUUGGAAACUGGUAAACUUGAGUACAGUAGAGGUAAGUGGAAUUCCAAGUGGAGCGGUGGAAUGCGUAGAUAUUUGGAGGAACACCAGUGGCGAAGGCGGCUUACUGGGCUGGAACUGACGCUGAGGCACGAAAGCGUGGGGAGCAAACAGGAUUAGAUACCCUGGUAGUCCACGCCGUAAACGUUGAGCACUAAGUGUCGGGAAUAAUCUCGGCGCUGCAGUUAACACAAUAAGUGCUCCGCCUGGGGAGUACGGUCGCAAGACUGAA
rnacentral:rRNA from 1 species